GACGAACGCUGGCGGCGUGCCUAAUACAUGCAAGUCGAACGCUUCUUUCCUCCCGAGUGCUUGCACUCAAUUGGAAAGAGGAGUGGCGGACGGGUGAGUAACACGUGGGUAACCUACCCAUCAGAGGGGGAUAACACUUGGCAACAGGUGCUAAUACCGCAUACAAGUUUAUGCCGCAUGGCAUAAGAGUGAAAGGCGCUUUCGGGUGCCGCUGAUGGAUGGCCCCGCGGUGCAUUAGCUAGUUGGUGAGGUAACGGCUCACCAAGGCCACGAUGCAUAGCCGACCUGAGAGGGUGAUCGGCCACACUGGGACUGAGACACGGCCCAGACUCCUACGGGAGGCAGCAGUAGGGAAUCUUCGGCAAUGGACGAAAGUCUGACCGAGCAACGCCGCGUGAGUGAAGAAGGUUUUCGGAUCGUAAAACUCUGUUGUUAGAGAAGAACAAGGACGUUAGUAACUGAACGUCCCCUGACGGUAUCUAAACAGAAAGCCACGGCUAACUACGUG
rnacentral:rRNA from 1 species